CUUUGGAGCAGCUGUUUAUGGAAUGUCACUAGUUAAGGUAUAGUUAAGAUGUAGUUAAUAUUUAGUCAUCUAUUUCUUUGAAUGUAUUUGAUUUCAGGUCCAUUAAUGAUACACAGACAUGGUAUGUCACAAUUUGUGUACUUCAUUUUCCACCCUAUGGUGGCCAGAAUCUGUAUGCGUUCCC